GACGAACGCUGGCGGCGUGCUUAACACAUGCAAGUCGAACGGUAAGGCCCUUCGGGGUACACGAGUGGCGAACGGGUGAGUAACACGUGGGUGAUCUGCCCUGCACUUCGGGAUAAGCCUGGGAAACUGGGUCUAAUACCGGAUAGGACCACUGCCUGCAUGGGUGGUGGUGGAAAGCUUUUGCGGUGUGGGAUGGGCCCGCGGCCUAUCACCUUGUUGGUGGGGUGAUGGCCUACCAAGGCGACGACGGGUAGCCGGCCUGAGAGGGUGACCGGCCACACUGGGACUGAGAUACGGCCCAGACUCCUACGGGAGGCAGCAGUGGGGAAUAAUGCACAAUGGGCGCAACCCGGAUGCAGCGACGCCGCGUGAGGGAUGACGGCCUUCGGGUUGUAAACCUCUUUCAGCGCCGACGAAGCGCAAGUGACGGUAGGUGCAGAAGAAGGACCGGCCAACUACGUGCCAGCCGCCGCGGUAA
rnacentral:rRNA from 1 species